rnacentral:rRNA from 1 species
GGUAGCACAGAGAGCUUGCUCUCGGGUGACGAGUGGCGGACGGGUGAGUAAUGUCUGGGAAACUGCCUGAUGGAGGGGGAUAACUACUGGAAACGGUAGCUAAUACCGCAUAACGUCGCAAGACCAAAGAGGGGGACCUUCGGGCCUCUUGCCAUCAGAUGUGCCCAGAUGGGAUUAGCUAGUAGGUGGGGUAACGGCUCACCUAGGCGACGAUCCCUAGCUGGUCUGAGAGGAUGACCAGCCACACUGGAACUGAGACACGGUCCAGACUCCUACGGGAGGCAGCAGUGGGGAAUAUUGCACAAUGGGCGCAAGCCUGAUGCAGCCAUGCCGCGUGUAUGAAGAAGGCCUUCGGGUUGUAAAGUACUUUCAGCGGGGAGGAAGGUGUUGUGGUUAAUAACCGCAGCAAUUGACGUUACCCGCAGAAGAA